rnacentral:rRNA from 1 species
AGCAGCCGCGGUAAUUCCAGCUCCAAUAGCGUAUAUUAAAGUUGUUGCAGUUAAAAAGCUCGUAGUUGAAUUUCAGGGUCAGUAGGUUGGUCAUGCCACGGGUAUGUACUGAUCUUACCGAUUCCUCCUUCCUGAUGAACCGUAAUGCCAUUAAUUUGGUGUUGCGGGGAAACUGGACUGUUACUUUGAAAAAUUGAGUGUUUAAAGCAGGCUAACGCUUGAAUACAUUAGCAUGGAAUAAUGAAAUAGGACGUUCGAUCCUAUUUUGUUGGUUUCUAGGAUUGACGUAAUGAUUAAUAGGGAUAGUUGGGGGCAUUAGUAUUCAAUUGUCAGAGGUNAAAUUCUUGGAUUUAUUGAAGACUAACUACUGCGAAAGCAUUUGCCAAGAUGUUUCAUUAAUCAAGAACGAAAGUUAGGGAUCGAAGACGAUCAGAUACCGUCGUAGUACUUAACCAUAAACUAUAGACCGACGUAGGGAUCGGAUGUAUUAGUUUAAUUUUUAUGUACU